AAUAUAUCUCAGUGAUAGAGAAUUUGCUUAGCAUGUGUGAGACUCUGGGUUCAAUUCCCAGUGUU
rnacentral:tRNA from 1 species